rnacentral:ribozyme from 13 species
AAAUUGAAAGCCUCAAUAAUGGUUGGAUUUCUUCUUCUCCGAUCAUCUUUCUAUUUCUUCUCUCUCCUUCUCCUUCAGCUCCCUGUUCUUUCGAGCCAGAUCGAGAUGAAGAAGGAGACCCAUCCUCCACAAUCUGUGACGUCGCAUUCAAAAAAG